AGCUUUGCGCAGUGGCAGUAUCGUAGCCAAUGAGGUUUAUACGAGGCGCGAUUAUUGCUAAUUGAAAACUUUUCCUAACAUCCCGCCGUGACGACUUGCGACAUAGUCGAGACUGAAUUAAAAAAAAAAAUAGAAA